UUCAACUGACGACAAGUGCCACUUGACAAGCUGCCGAACUUGAAAUUUUUUUUCAUUUCAAUAUUUCAUUGUUACCCCCGGCAAAUACACGGCAUAUACCCAACAUAUAGAAGUCUGACUCUUGGUCUGGCUUGAUUCGCUCGAUGUGUUACCUGUCCGCCAGCCUCGUCCCACAGCUGGCGAUUAAUCUUGACAUUGAGUUGCUUUUGCUGUUGCAGAGACAGAUGCAAAGACAAUGGCCCACUGGCAUAUAUAAAUGCGAUUUUCUCGACCAGACACUGUUGACAAUAAAUAAUUUAGCCAUCUAUAAUGGCCCGUUGAUGAGUGCUGUUUGGCCAGCGAGGAGGAGGAGACGCUCCCACACUUUUUCCACCGGCGAUUGCAUGCAAGAUUGCGAUCAUAAUCAUGGGAGUUCACGUGCAGAGCACGCGGCCGCUGGAGGAAGGACAAGUGGCAAGACUCGAAAUCCAGGACAUGUAAUGGGAUGGAUGUGCGAGCAAAUAGAUUCCCAGGCCGUUUGAACUGGUGCUUCACGACAAGUGCGGGUCAUCAUAAUCAUCGGCAUCAUCAUCGACAUUAUUACAAUCGACCGCAACUACUUUAAUUACACUGUUAGCCGCAGGCCAAACUACACUGGUCAACAAACUCAGGGUGGAAAAUCUGAAAGGUGUUAUGUAGUAAGUUGGGGUUGGUAUUCAGCUUUUUAUAAUAUGUCAAUGUACAUUUUACUUAUUCUGAUUUAUGAUGAGCAUAAUAAGGGAAAUAUGUUAUAAAACUGCAAAAUGAUAUGAUGGGU
ensembl:ncRNA lncRNA:CR43440 long non-coding RNA:CR43440